rnacentral:misc_RNA from 1 species
GAGAUGCCAAGGGGCAGGCAAUUUAAGCUUUGUAAGGGUUUUUAAGGAAUGGGUUCGAUUUCACCUUCUGGGCCUGUGUGUUAUUAUUGAGCCUCAGGUUAGUGGCUUGUUUGCUGAUAGAGUUAUUACGAAAAUGGGUUUCUUGCGUUCAUACCGGAUUGAAAGCAUUGGCUUCGUAGGUGGUAUCUGGUUUGUGUGGAAUCCUUCCCGUGUGCCAGUUACUGUUAUUUUUCAACAUUUUCAAAUUAUUCAUCCUUAAAUGGAAGCUAAGACUGGUGAAAGCUUCUUAUUUACUACGGUUUAUACUAGUUGUAGCUAGCUACCAGGUGUGUUUUAUAGGAAUCUCCGUCUUCUAUUGUUGCCUUUAUUUCUUAGCCUUGGCUUAUGGCAGGAGAUUUCAAUUCUAUUGCUUUUUCUUUUGAGAAGUUGGGGCGUGCUACAGCGAGCUCAUCAAGAUGUCGUGAGUUUAGGGAUUAGAUUGACAGUUGUAAUUUACUUGAUCUACGUUUUGUUGAGCCUCAAUUUACUUGGAAGAGAGGGGUAGUGGAGGAACGUUUGGAUAGGGUGCUAUGUGAUUUGGAUUGGCGGACUAAGUAUAUUGAUGCCACGUUAUAUCACCUACAUUGCUUGAAUUCUACUCACCGUUCACUUCUUAUAAAGGUUAAUCAUGUGGAGCAUCCUUCCAGUCGAACAGGUCAGUUUCGAUUUUUAUCAGCUUGGCUAUUGGAUGAAGGGUUUCGGUUAGUUAUGGAUGGAAGUUGGGUUUCAGUUAACAUAUAAGAGAAUAUCUCUAGUUUUUGUGCAGCGGCCUCUUAUUGGAAUAAGAAUGUUUUUGGCAAUAUUGGCAAAAGAAAGUCAAAUUUGCUGAAGAGGAUUGUUGGUGUUGAGCGCGCUCUCGAGCUACAUCCUAAUUCACAAUGUCUUUUGAAUAUUGAACCCAACCUUAAAUUGGAAAUGGAGAAUGUGUAACAACAGAAGAAACUAUUUUGGUUCCAAAAGUCAUGGACUGACCGGAUUAAUAAUGGUGAUAGGAAUACUAAAUAUUUUCAUGCCAUUGCUCUCACCAGGCAAAAGAGGAAUAAGAUUGAAGCUCUUUGUGAUAGUUCGGGUAACUAGUGUAUACGUCCAUUCCUGUGCUUCAUCAGAGAGUGGUUUCUUUUUUUCUUGAAUUUGUAUAGUGAGCUAGUGCCUUAUAAAGACUCUUAUCAUAUCCGAGAUAGCUUUCCAGCCAUCACUGCUUCCUAGUAUGAGUUUAUGAUUUACAUGCCAGAUAUUUCCGAAGUGAAGCAACUUGCUUUUAGCAUGGGUCCUCAUAAAGCUCUAGGCUCGGAUGGACUUCCCCUUAUUUUUUUU